UUCCCGUUGAUGUAUAACAUGCAUUUUAAAGAAAUCCAGAGAUAUAGUUCCAUUUUUAGUUUGAAGUAAAAAAGUCAGAAUCAAAGGCUUAAAGCCCAAGGUAAAAUGGGCAAUCACGGGAACAGAGUCCAUCAAUCGCCGGCCCCAAGGUUAAGGGGGUGGUUAUGACCACGAGUUAAUGGCCAGUCACACUCAGUUUGAACACCAGUCAAAGAAGAACUGAAGACAAAUUUAACAUCUGAAUGGAGCAAAGCGUGAUUCAUGACUUGGUGAGACCUAGGAGAGCCUGGCACGGAGCUGAGCAGGAAGCAGCCAUGGCUCCCACCCACCCCAUGUGGCUGGCCGAGACUCACCAGGGCCGUCACUGUUUGGCCUGUCAGAAGUGGUCGAGGGAAAGAAAGCAUCUCACCUUGUCUGCUGAAACAGGACCACGAUGUCUUUACACCAACUCUAACAGUUCUCAGGCACAGUGCACAGGAAGUUCCCCAGGAAGAGAAGCUUUGGCCAUCAGAGACCCACACAGCCCUGGGAUGUCCCGAGUGGGUGGCCUCUUGCUCCCAAUGCCACCAGCAGGUUUACGGGGCUUUGUCCUGGUCCUUGGAGACAAAGGGUGAAUAUUUGCUUUUACGUCUGUAGUGAAGGCACCCAUGCACUCAAAUCAAGAACACAGAAAUAACAAGUUUCAGAAGAAAACUGCGGUUCCUAUAUCUCUCAACAUGGAAUGUGUCUGCAGGUUUUAAACAUCAGUGUUGGGCUUCUUUACAGCUUCUACCCACAGAAUUGCAAAAUUCCCAAGGAUCUAGUUUUAAAGGAGUUCCCUUAUCUCCAAUGCCCUAUUUUCAAAAAGUUAAUCUAAACACACACACAAACACAAGUAUAGAGUGGCCAUAGUUGAAGAUGAAAUACUGAGUUUGUGUUCUCCCAAAUCACAAAGACAACUACUUGUGAAACAGUGAUUUAAGGGAGGAAAGAGACAUUGCCAUGCCUCUGAUUUCUGUGUGGAAGGAAUUCAUUUUUCCCACAGUCAUAAAUUCUAAGUUGAAUAUUUGAUAUUAUAACAACCCAGAGGUCAGACAGUGGGAGACAGAAGUCUGGGCUUCAAGGCUGUUGGAGGAGUUUCUAUGAGGCAGUGGCCGUGCAGGGCUGCCUCUGAGGGUUGGCAGGGAGCACAGAACAGACGUGCUGUCAGGCUGCAGACCCUCUGCCCUCAUAGACAGGGGCGGCACAGGCCCAGCCUGUCUUCUAGGACUCUGUCUUCUCCCUGCAGGGCAUUUAGUAGAAACACAGAAAUCCCAGUUUUAGAUGGAGGGAGACUGGUUACCUUUUUACUCUACCCUGUAACCGAAUUCCCAUUCUUGGAAUGGAAAGUUUUGUUCUGAUGCUGUGCGAAGUGGUGGACGCCAUGACCCUGGACUCGCCCUCCUCGCCCCUGCCGUGCCCUGUCCCUCCGUGACUGGCGAAUGUCCCCCACCGCAGCCUGGAAGUGGAGCUCUGCUGUCUGCGCAUGGGGGUCACAUGGAGAAAGCCGAUCCAUGGAACUCUUCCAGUGGUUGCUUUGUUUUUUGUGUCAGUUUGGUUUUCUGAACUAAGGAAAUAAAACGCAUGGC
rnacentral:lncRNA from 1 species